rnacentral:rRNA from 1 species
AUUGAACGCUGGCGGCAGGCCAACACAUGCAAGUCGAACGAGUGGCGGACGGGUGAGUAAUGUCUGGGAAACUGCCUGAUGGAGGGGGAUAACUACUGGAAACGGUAGCUAAUACCGCAUACAAACGGAUGUGCCCAGAUGGGAUUAGCUAGUAGGUGGGGUAAAGGCUCACCUAGGCGACGAUCCCUAGCUGGUCUGAGAGGAUGCCCAGCCACACUGGAAUGGAGACACGGUCCAGACUCCUACGGGAGGCAUGAGUGGGGAAUAUUGCACAAUGGGCGCAAGCCUGAUGCAGCCAUGCCGCGUGUAUGAAGAAGGCUUUCGGGUUGUAAAGUACUUUCAGCGGGGAGGCGUUACCCGCAGAAGAAGCACCGGCUAACUCCGUGCCAGCCGCCGCGGUAAUUC